GUAACGGAGGAGCACGAAGGUUAGCUAAUCCUGGUCGGACAUCAGGAGGUUAGUGCAAUGGCAUAAGCUAGCUUGACUGCGAGCGUGACGGCGCGAGCAGGUGCGAAAGCAGGUCAUAGUGAUCCGGUGGUUCUGAAUGGAAGGGCCAUCGCUCAACGGAUAAAAGGUACUCCGGGGAUAACAGGCUGAUACCGCCCAAGAGUUCAUAUCGACGGCGGUGUUUGGCACCUCGAUGUCGGCUCAUCACAUCCUGGGGCUGAAGUAGGUCCCAAGGGUAUGGCUGUUCGCCAUUUAAAGUGGUACGCGAGCUGGGUUUAGAACGUCGUGAGACAGUUCGGUCCCUAUCUGCCGUGGGCGCUGGAGAAUUGAGGGGGGCUGCUCCUAGUACGAGAGGACCGGAGUGGACGCAUCACUGGUGUUCGGGUUGUCAUGCCAAUGGCACUGCCCGGUAGCUAAAUGCGGAAGAGAUAAGUGCUGAAAGCAUCUAAGCACGAAACUUGCCCCGAGAUGAGUUCUCCCUGAGACUUUAAGUCUCCUGAAGGAACGUU
rnacentral:rRNA from 1 species